GUCGAGAAUCAUUCACAAUGGGCGAAAGCCUGAUGGUGUGACGCCGCGUGGAGGAUGAAGGUCUUCGGAUUGUAAACUCCUGUCAAGUGAGAGUAAAGCCGGGCGUUAACUGCGAGCCGGUGUGAGAGUAUCACUAGAGGAAGAGACGGCUAACUCUGUGCCAGCAGCCGCGGUAAUACAGAGGUCUCAAGCGUUGUUCGGAAUCACUGGGCGUAAAGGGUGCGUAGGCUGCACGGUAAGUCAGAGGUGAAAUCCCGGGGCUCAACCCCGGAAUUGCCUCCGAUACUGCCGUGCUUGAGGACUGGAGAGGAGUCUGGAAUUCACAGUGGAGCAGUGAAAUGCGUAGAUAUUGUGAGGAACACUAGUGGCGAAGGCGAGACUCUGGACAGUUCCUGACGCUGAGGCACGAAGGCCAGGGGAGCAAACGGGAUUAGAAACCCCUGUAGUCC
rnacentral:rRNA from 1 species